rnacentral:rRNA from 1 species
UACGGAGGGAGCUAGCGUUGUUCGGAAAUACUGGGCGUAAAGCGCACGUAGGCGGCGCCGCAAGUCAGGGGUGAAAUCCCGGGGCUCAACCCCGGAACUGCCCUUGAAACUGCGGUGCUAGAAUCUUGGAGAGGCGAGUGGAAUUCCGAGUGUAGAGGUGAAAUGCGUAGAUAUCUGGAGGAAUACCGGUGGCGAAGGCGGCAUCCUGGACCGGCAUUGACGCUGAGGAGCGAAAGCUAGGGGAGCAAACGGG